GCGGCUGUGGCGGAACAGGUAGACGCGCACGUUUGAGGGGCGUGUGGGAUAACCAUGUGGGUUCAAGUCCCAUCGGCCGCACCA
rnacentral:tRNA from 1 species